rnacentral:rRNA from 1 species
GAUGAACGCUGGCGGCGUGCCUAAUACAUGCAAGUCGAGCGAACAGACGAGGAGCUUGCUCCUCUGACGUUAGCGGCGGACGGGUGAGUAACACGUGGAUAACCCACCUAUAAGACUGGGAUAACUUCGGGAAACCGUAGCUAAUACCGGACAAUAUAUUGAACCGCAUGGUUCAAUAGUGAAAGACGGUUUUGCUGUCACUUAUAGAUGGAUCCGCGCCGCAUUAGCUAGUUGGUAAGGUAACGGCUUACCAAGGCAACGAUGCGUAGCCGACCUGAGAGGGUGAUCGGCCACACUGGAACUGAGACACGGUCCAGACUCCUACGGGAGGCAGCAGUAGGGACUCUUCCGCAAUGGGCGACAGCUUGACGGAGCAAAGCCGCGUGAGUGAUGAAGGUCUUCGGAUCGUAAAACUCUGUUAUUAGGGAAGAACAAAUGUGUAAGUAACUAUGCACGUCUUGACGGUACCUAAUCAGAAAGCCACGGCUAACUACGUG